rnacentral:rRNA from 1 species
CGACCGGCGCACGGGUGAGUAACGCGUAUCCAACCUGCCUUACACUCUUGGACAGCCUUCUGAAAGGGAGAUUAAUACAAGAUGUUAUCAUGAGUAAGCAUUUUCACAUGAUUAAAGGUUUACCGGUGUAAGAUGGGGAUGCGUUCCAUUAGAUAGUGGGCGGGGUAACGGCCCACCUAGUCUUCGAUGGAUAGGGGUUCUGAGAGGAAGGUCCCCCACAUUGGAACUGAGACACGGUCCAA